GCGACCCCAGGUCAGGCGGGGCUACCCGCUGAGU
rnacentral:rRNA from 1 species